UAAUUUAAGACGGUGUUCUGACAAAACGUCCUACCUAUCAAGCUGUCCUACUUGUUGUUACUGCGCAUGCGCACAAUUCAAAACGGCCAUAUUUCCGGUUUAAAUAGUACACGCCUAUUAUUUCAUCCUACCCCGAUCUUGUGCCGAUCUCGUUGCUUCGAAAAAAGUUAUGGAGAACAAAUACGAGGAACUGCUCAUGUUUCUGUCUGUUGGGUCCUACCCAUCUGAAUACGAUAAGUCCCAGAGGCAAACCCUUAGGAGAUACUCUGCAAAAUUCAGGCUGAAGGGCGGAGUGCUCUUGUUUGGAAACAGGAGAGUGAUAAAAACAAAAGAAGAAGCCAUGGGACUAUUUCAAGACUUUCAUUCAAGUCCCAUCGGUGGACACACUGGUGUACUCAAGACUCGAACUGCAAUGUGUUCCAGAUUUUACUGGUAUGGAAUGUCGGUUGACAUUGUUAAUUGGGUGUCACAUGUCUGGGAGCUAAUCG